UACGUAGGGUCCGAGCGUUGUCCGGAAUUAUUGGGCGUAAAGAGCUCGUAGGCGGUGUGUCGCGUCGGUCGUGAAAACUUGGGGCUUAACCCUGAGCUUGCGGUCGAUACGGGCAUCACUGGAGUGCGGCAGAGGAGACUGGAAUUCCUGGUGUAGCAGUGAAAUGCGUAGAUAUCAGGAGGAACACCGAUGGCGAAGGCAGGUCUCUGGGCUGACACUGACGCUCAUGCACGAAAGCGUGGGGAGCAAACAGG
rnacentral:rRNA from 1 species